GACGAACGCUGGCGGCGUGCUUAACACAUGCAAGUCGAACGGAAAGGCCCUGCUUUUGUGGGGUGCUCGAGUGGCGAACGGGUGAGUAACACGUGAGUAACCUGCCCUUGACUUUGGGAUAACUUCAGGAAACUGGGGCUAAUACCGGAUAGGAGCUCCUGCUGCAUGGUGGGGGUUGGAAAGUUUCGGCGGUUGGGGAUGGACUCGCGGCUUAUCAGCUUGUUGGUGGGGUAGUGGCUUACCAAGGCUUUGACGGGUAACCGGCCUGAGAGGGUGACCGGCCACAUUGGGACUGAGAUACGGCCCAGACUCCUACGGGAGGCAGCAGUGGGGAAUAUUGCACAAUGGGCGGAAGCCUGAUGAAGCAACGCCGCGUGCGGGAUGACGGCCUUCGGGUUGUAAACCGCUUUCGCCUGUGACGAAGCGUGAGUGACGGUAAUGGGUAAAGAAGCACCGGCUAACUACGUG
rnacentral:rRNA from 1 species